rnacentral:lncRNA from 1 species
AGCACAUACUUUUUUUUAUCUAUCUUCUUUCAUUGAACUGUAAUAUCCAUGUUGUUGUAUGAAAUGCAGUUUUUCACUACUGUUUGCUAUUUCAUCUUAUGAGACACCAUAAUUUACUUAUUCACUCUACUAUUGCUGAUGUUUGGGUUGUUUUUAAUGCUCUACAAGUAUAAGCCAUGCUGUUAUGAGCCUUCUGAUGCAUAUUUCAUUAGAUUAGCUGUUUUGGAGUGGGAAUUACUGGGUCAUAAUUUAUAUAUAUUUUCAGUUUUAGUAGAUGAUGAUAGAAGAACAGGACACCACCUGCACUUCAUUACAUCCUUGCCAACAGUGUGAUGGUCAUCUAUUUAGCCACUUUAACAGGUUACAGUAGUACUUAUGUAAGUCUGAAUUUGCAUUUCUCUGAUUACUAGUGAGGUGAAGCAUUUUCUCAUACUUAUUAGACAUUUGACUCUCCUCUUUGUAACUGCAUGGUCAAAACUUGCCUGUUUUUAAAAACUGGAUUGGUUUUGAUUUUGAUUUUAAUUUAUUUGUUUUCUUAAUCAAUGUAAAAAAAGUUUUAACAUUUCAGGUUGAAGGGUGAUGUUUAUUAUAGCUCUUCUUUUUUCAUAUUUUUUAUUGGUGCAUUAUAGUUGUACAUACUAAUAGAGUUUGUUGUUACAUAUUUGUACAUGCACAGAAUAUACAGUAUAAAAAGAUAAUUUAACCAAUACUACUCCCCCGCAUAUUAUAACUACUCUUUAUAGAAAUUCCUUAUCUGAUUAAGGACUUUUUCUUCCACUUCCAGUUUGUUAAGAGUGGUUAUCAUGAAUGAAUGUUGACAAAUGCUUUCUCUGCAUUCGUUGAGAUGUCCAUGUCCUUUAGUCAGUGCAUAUCAACUACAUUGAUCACUUUGAAAAUUUCACAAUUAUUUUUUAGAAUAAAUCCACCUUGGUCAUAGAUAUAUUAUCUCUUUUUCAAAUUAAUUAAUUUUAAUUAGGUAUAUAUGACAGCAGAAUGCAUUUCAAUUCAUUGUACACAAUUGCAGCACAAUUUUUCAUUUCUCUAUUUACACGAUAUAGCACCACACCAUAUGUGCAGUCAUACAUGUACCUAGGCUAAUAAUGUCUAUCUCAUUCCACCAUCUUUCCCACCCCCAUGCCCAUUCCCUACCCUACCCUCCCUUGCCUUUGCCCAAUCAAAGUUCCUCCAUUUUUCCCAUGCCCCAACCCACAUUAUGGAUCAGCAUCCACUUACCAGAGAGAAAAUUUGGCCUUUGAUUUUUUAGGAUUGGCUUACUCGCUUAGCAUGAUAUUCUACAACUCCAUUGAUAUACCUGCAUAAUUUUAUUCUCUUUUAAUGCUGAGUAAUAUUCCAUUGUGUGUAUAUACCCACCGUUUCUUUAUUCAUUCAUCUAUUGAAGGGCAUCUAGGUUGGUUCCACAGUUUAUGUAUUGUGAAUUGAGCUGCUAUGAACAUUGAUGUGGCUGCAUUACUGUAGUUUGCUGAUUUUAAGUCCUUUGGGUAUAGACCGAGGAGUGGGAUACCUGGGUCAAAUGGUGGUUCCAUUCCAAGUUUUCUAAUCUUCAUACUGCUUUCCAGAUUGGUUGCACCAAUUUGCAGUCCCACCAGCAAUGUAUGAGUGUGACUUUUUCCCAAAAUCCUUGCCAACACUUAUUGUCGUUAUUAUAUUUUAUUUUUAAAUAUUUAUUUUAAGGGAAGAUGACUUACAAAGAGGAAAAUGUACAAAUCAUUAGUUUUCCUGUCAAUAAUUUUAAUUAAGCUAAUGCUUGCAUGUAACCACCAGGAAGAUCAGAAAAUAGAACAUGACCAUCUCCUCACAAAUGCUCCAGUCAUCCCCUCCUCUCCUCCAGCUCAAAAGUAAUCCCU